rnacentral:rRNA from 1 species
GAUGAACGCAGGCGGCGUGCCUAAUACAUGCAAGUCGAGCGAACGGACGAGAAGCUUGCUUCUCUGAUGUUAGCGGCGGACGGGUGAGUAACACGUGGAUAACCUACCUAUAAGACUGGGAUAACUUCGGGAAACCGGAGCUAAUACCGGAUAAUAUUUUGAACCGCAUGGUUCAAAAGUGAAAGACGGUCUUGCUGUCACUUAUAGAUGGAUCCGCGCUGCAUUAGCUAGUUGGUAAGGUAACGGCUUACCAAGGCAACGAUGCAUAGCCGACCUGAGAGGGUGAUCGGCCACACUGGAACUGAGACACGGUCCAGACUCCUACGGGAGGCAGCAGUAGGGAAUCUUCCGCAAUGGGCGAAAGCCUGACGGAGCAACGCCGCGUGAGUGAUGAAGGUCUUCGGAUCGUAAAACUCUGUUAUUAGGGAAGAACAUAUGUGUAAGUAACUGUGCACAUCUUGACGGUACCUAAUCAGAAAGCCACGGCUAACUACGUG